AGUCACCAGGGACCUUGACAGGUGGCUCAGUGCAGAGCUGGACGCUGAGGAGUGAGGGUGUGUGCAGGCGGCGAGUGUAGACUGUCCUUGGGGGAAUCUUGGCCAUAGGAAGAAGAGGCAGAGACUGAGAACUUUGUGCUGCUUGAUUUGUUUUGCUUCUGGAGGACAUGGGUUUCUUAAACAGAAUUCACAGGCUGUCAGGAAGAGUUGGUGCAGAAGAUUUGAAGACUUGGGAAAGCAAUGAAAAUUGAUGGAAAAAUGUGAAUGUCUGGGAAGAAUUAGGAAGGAGAGGGUCAAGGACCAGAGGUAGUAGCAGUGAUGGCUGAUUACCUUCAAAGUGUACAAGCAUACCUUGGAGCUACAGAUGGUUUACUUCCAGACAACUACAAAAAAAGAAGCAUUUCAUGGAAUAGAUGCACCACCAUGUGUUCAUCCAUUCACCAGGUGAAAGACAUUUAGCUUAUUUACAUUUCUUGGCAAAUAUGAUUGGGACUGCCAUAAACAUUCAUGUGCAAGUCUGGGUGAAUUGGCUGUAUCACUGGAUUCCCACCAACAACGGAUGCGAAUUCCAGUUGCUUUGCUGUACAGUUCCUGACCGUGGAGUGGCCUUUGGAGCUGGGACUUGGCUUUACUCCGUGCCAGAACACCAAUGAGGGUCUCCAGGACUGAAACCGGCCCUCACGUGCACCUCCGCACAGGAGAGCGCUCUGUGGUCUGGCCCCAGCUUCCUUCUGCAGUCCCAUGAGUGUAUGAGUUCUUCUAGAGUCACAGUGCACUCCCUCCACUGGGCGACCUCUCCCACUGGGCGACCUCCCCCGCACCUCUGCACGGGCUUUGCAUUUUCAUCUGUAUUGUUUGGCUGCCACUGUUUGAGCCUUUCUCUGUGUAAAGUGCUCUGCUGAGCACUGUCUUAUUCUUAAUUACUAUUGUUAAACACUUCAAACAUUAUAUAAGCACCUUCUUAUUCUUAAUUAUUAUUAAAUAUUUCAAACACAAUACGUGAUAAUAGUAUCCCAAUGUACUUCUUAACUCCAAUUUGAUAAAUCAGUAUUUGUCCCCUUUUCCUUCAGAUCCAUUUGUUUUGAGAAUUAAAACUUUCAAAUAUGUCGGAGUCCUUCCCUCCCCACUCCC